UACGAAGGGGGCUAGCGUUGCUCGGAAUUACUGGGCGUAAAGCGCACGUAGGCGGCUUUCUAAGUCGGGGGUGAAAUCCUGGAGCUCAACUCCAGAACUGCCUUCGAUACUGGAGAGCUCGAGUCCGGGAGAGGUGAGUGGAACUGCGAGUGUAGAGGUGAAAUUCGUAGAUAUUCGCAAGAACACCAGUGGCGAAGGCGGCUCACUGGCCCGGUACUGACGCUGAGGUGCGAAGGCGUGGGGAGCGAACGGG
rnacentral:rRNA from 1 species